rnacentral:rRNA from 1 species
CCCUUAGAUGUUCUGGGCCGCACGCGCGCUACACUGACGAAUGCAACGAGCUUAUAACCUUGGCCGAAAGGUCUGGGUAAUCUCCAAAUUUCGUCGUGAUGGGGAUAGAUUAUUGCAAUUAUUAAUCUUCAACGAGGAAUGCCUAGUAAGCGCAAGUCAUCAGCUUGCGUUGAUUACGUCCCUGCCCUUUGUACACACCGCCCGUCGCUCCUACCGAUUGAAUGGUCCGGUGAAGCGUUCGGACCGUGGCCUUUGGACGGUUCGCCGUCUGUUGGCUGCGGGAAGUUCGUUAAACCUUGUCAUUUAGAGGAAGGAGAANUCGUANCA